GCUCGUUAGAAAGGCCCUGCUCAUUGGUUUUCAAAUCUCAUAGAGCUGAUCUCACAGAUCUGAUCCUUCUGGAAAAGACAUUCUGUGUAAUCUCCCAUGAAGCAGCAGAGCAAACAUAACUUGGAGUUAAGGACACAACUACCAAGGAUGUCUACAUGGGUCAGCAGAAACUCUGUUGUGGUUUGACCAUGACAUGUUCCCAACAGGCUCCCGUGUUGGUCCUAGCUGAUAUCACUGUCUGGAGAGGACCUGGAAACCUCAGGAGGUGGGGCAUAGUUAGUGAUGGGGCUCUGAAGGCUCUGCCUGGUCCCUUCUCAUCUUUACUCUGUCUUCCCACCUGGUCUCGCUGCCCUGGUGUUCUGCCUACAAGCACGGGACCAGCAACCUGGACAGAACACUGAGUCUCUGAGCAGAGUAAAGCCUUCAUCCUGACUUCCUGUCAGGUAUUUGAGUAGAGUCAUGAUAAAAUGAAACAACACAGAACAAAGACACUUGAAAUCCUG